UAUCCUGGCUCAGGAUGAACGCUAGCGGCAGGCCUAAUACAUGCAAGUCGAACGAUAUUGAGGAGCUUGCUCUUCAUGAAAGUGGCGCACGGGUGCGUAACGCGUAUGCAACCUACCUUAAUCAGGGGGAUAGCCCGAAGAAAUUCGGAUUAACACCGCAUAAAAACACAGGAUAGCAUUAUCCAAUGUUCAAAUAUUUAUAGGAUUAAGAUGGGCAUGCGUGUCAUUAGCUAGUUGGCGGGGUAACGGCCCACCAAGGCGACGAUGACUAGGGGAUCUGAGAGGAUGACCCCCCACACUGGUACUGAGACACGGACCAGACUCCUACGGGAGGCAGCAGUAAGGAAUAUUGGUCAAUGGAGGGAACUCUGAACCAGCCAUGCCGCGUGCAGGAAGACAGCCCUCUGGGUCGUAAACUGCUUUUAUUCGGGAAUAAACCUAUCUACGUGUAGAUAGCUGAAUGUACCGAAGGAAUAAGGAUCGGCUAACUCCGUG
rnacentral:rRNA from 1 species